GAAGGGGGUCCAAACAUUAAGAGCAAGGGUGUCCAAACACAGCGUCCAUGCGAGUCCAAACACAGUGUCCAAGCGAGCAGGGAGUAUACGAACCGGGGGUUCAACUACUGGUCAUCCCUAAAAAACGGACCGGACCAACGGACCAUGGUCGGCGACAAGUCUGCUUUACGGACCCGAAUGGUCCGCGACAUCUCUAUUUUACGGACCACUUUGCUCACUGCUAAGAAUUAUAGCUAAUGCUAAGGUCAAGAUUUACUCUUACUGAAAUCCUGCUCAGUUCUCGCUUAGAUAUAAGCCCAAACCUUCAGAUAUUGCAAAUUUAAAGAAUUUAUUCAUGAAACAACUGUAUACAGCCUGAGCAUGAUAGCUCAGUACUGUACUGAGUUAAUUGAUGUCGUGCAGUGACUCUACAAAUGGUGGAGUAAAUUUAAAUAUCUCAUACUUAUUUGUGUCACUUUACAGCCUAGUGUGCAUGGGAAGUAAAUCUUGUUCUGAAUUUAGUGGAAUAACAGUUACAAAUUAGAUAUGUAAUGAUACUGAAUUGCAACUGCUUAAGUUUUCAAUGACUGCUGAUGUUGGUAGCUACACUGAAUUAUUGUGGUUGAUCAUUUUAUGCAUAAAAUUUUUUUUAAAUUUAGGUCUAUAUAUACUUGAUAUUUGAUAUUACAACAUGCAUUGUAUGAAAUGUACGCAUGCAAUUAAGAUCAAUGCCACUAAAAUAUGGCCCAGACUUGUAAUGAUUAUAUUCAAGAAUUUACACCUUUAAUUCAUAUAAAUUAUUAAAAAUUAAAAAUAACAAUAGUACAAAAACUUUGGUAGUUAUAUUUAUCACUGCAUAAGUGAACUACACAAUCAAAAAGUAUUAUAACUGUUCAGUUAAUUGAUAUAAUCUAUACUGUCAAUACUAAUUCCUCAAGCUCUCCUCUGACAAUAUGCUACUGAGUGAUACCACUGAGCUGUAUUUUUUGUAAACUUCUGUUUAGACUUGUAUAUUUAUUUAAUAAUUUAUUUAGUCUACUAAUAAUUUUAUUCUGCUAAUAAAUAAUUAAUUUAUCCAUCGAGGCUUGACAUUAUUCACUAGCUGAUUCUCAUUAAUAUUAUUGCUAUAAAGAUUAUUAAAACUUUUACUGCAGCCUUCCAAAGCACCCCGUCUGUCAAAGUUUUCUUGCUUCUCUCUAUUUCAGAAAUUAGCUUGAGAUCCAUGGGAUCACUGGCUCCAAGCUUUAAGAUCACCGGCUCCAAGCUUUAAGAUCACCGGCUCCAAGCUUCAAGAUCACAGGCUCUACUUUUCUGCUUAUGACACAGAUUGAGUAUAAUGUUCUCAUGAUUAUUGUGCCACUUCACAUAACAUCACUACUUGAAUCAUAAUUAUUACUUAAGUUGUUGCGCUCUGAUCUACUCUUUAUUAUCAUAGAAUUGUCUCCCUUGCAUGGAUUCAAAUUUGUCUGCUGCACCUGCUAAAUUCCAUAUCAAGUACUACCUUUGGGAUCAGUUCCAGCAUUGUUAUUAAUUUCUAUUCAUGUUGCUUUAUUUGGCAGUAGAUUCAGUUGAUAAUCAUUAUUAUCAUCAUCAUUACUACCGUUUUAAUUUUGAUUGCAUUUUACUUUCUCUUAUUUGUUUUUUGUUUCUUUUUCUUUUUUUUCUCCUCUUUUUUAUAUUCUGGCUUCAUGGCCAUGCUUCCUUGGUCAGGCCUUCAGUGCUUGUUUUAUCUAGCCUCUUAACCGUUCUCAUUUUCAUUGCCGAUCACUGUAAAAUUUAAAUAAAUGCUGAUGCAUGAAUAUAACGAACUAUUAACUCAAGUUGAAAUUACAGACUU